GGCGGAGCCCGAGGACGAGGUCCUUAUAAAAGCCAUAUAGCACGAGACGGUGUGUUAUAAAUGAUAUAUGUUAGGGUGGAGCCACACAUUCAACAAGUAUGUACUGUGGGCGGUCAGUUUACACAAGCACAAAGCCACAGUGCAUGUAUGGGGCACUGCAGUGCGUGUAUGGAAUAUGCAAGUCCUGCUAAUCCUUUGAUGUGUGGCUUCAUCAUGAUAUAUAUAUAUAUAUAUAUAUAUAUAUAUAUAUAGCCUGUAGUUACACUUGCGACCGCGAUCAAAAGCUUUGAUCUGCAUAAAAAGACGUUUGACACCUUGAUCUACAGGCUUGAUUUCCCUUGAUGCUUGAUUUGAUGAACUCAAGUGCUUGCACAGCUAAUUAAAAAUUCAUAGAACUGCAUAAUCAAAGAUAUACGAAAAAUAUGCAUAUCCUGAUGCCUGCUACAGACUGUCUUGAUUCCUUAAUCGCAACCUGAUUGUCCCUUUGAUGUCUUGAUUUUGAUUUGAUCGUGGUCGCAAGUAUAUAACUACAGGCUUGAUGGAAGUGACGCCCCUUGAGUAAUGACUAGUAUAAGAUUAAUUGUAAUUGUUAUCUUAAUCACUAUAAUUAAUGUCCCUUUAAUUACUGUAUAAUUACUGGGGUUUAUUUUGAGGCUGAUAAUUUUCUCGAGUAACCUGUAUCCGGAGGUUCAAAAAAUUAAUUGUUGGGAAUUUUCACUAUUCUGCCAUCUUGUACCAUAUUAAGUUGAUUGUCAAGGAAUUUAAUUGCGCAAUUUUUUUAAAAUCCACAAAAUUUGCAAAAUUUUGUUAUCCUCAAAUAACGGUAUGUUGUGCAUGUAGGAGCUAUCCAACACAGAGUUUCUUUUUUCAAUUUUUUUUGCUAUUAAGAAAUAAACAGCCAGGCCUCUAAUUGGUAAAAUACGGUAGUUUUAAUUGAGUAUAGUCCUCAUAGACGGCUGCAGGGUUGGGCAUAGUCGGGCAAUGCCCAACCAAAAAUUUUGAUCGGAAAUGAGAAAUUAAUUAAUGACAUCAUUUUUAGUCAUGAAAAAUUACCAUGUAGCUAGCAAGAGAGUCUUUUUUGCUUUCCUUUGUCAACAAGCCUUCCAGGAGGACCAGGACUGGCACUUUACAGGUUGUAUGGAGCUUUACAGAAACUUGAUAAAAGAGGAGAGGAUUUAUCAAGGAUUGAGAAACAAACAGAAAAGCUUGCCACUGGUGCUGCUGACUUUGCUUCUGUUGCUGAGAAGUAUCAAAAGAAAAGGUUUGAGGAACAAACAAAAAAGCUUGCCACUGGUGCUGCUGACUUUGCUUCUGUUGCUGAGAUGUAUCGAAAGAAAAGGAUUGAGGAGCAAACAGAAAAGCUUUCCACUGAUGCUGAUAUCAGACUUUGCUUCUGUUGCUGAAAGGCUUGCUGAGAAGUAUCAAAAGAAGAUAUUUUAAUUCAUUGAAAUUGUAAAAUAAAUUUAAUGCACGCACACACACACACGCUCAACUACAUGCAUGUUGUUAUUAAUAAUGUUAAUUGCUUUAUUCUUUGAAUUUCAUCUUGUUCAUCUAAGAUUAUUAAUAGUUGCAACGAUUUAUUAUGAUUACACAAA